rnacentral:rRNA from 1 species
GAUGAACGCUGGCGGCGUGCCUAAUACAUGCAAGUCGAGCGAAUGGAUUAAGAGCUGGCUCUUAUUAAGUUAGCGGCGGACGGGUGAGUAACACGUGGGGAACCUGCCCAUAAGACUGGGAUAACUCCGGGAAACCGGGGCUAAUACCGGCUAAUAUUUUGAACUGCAUGGUUCAAAAUUGAAAGGCGGCUUCGGCUGUCACUUAUGGAGGGACCCGCGUCGCAUUAGCUAGUUGGUGAGGGUACGGCUCACCAAGGCAACGAUGCGUAGCCGACCUGAGAGGGUGAUCGGCCACACUGGGACUGAGACGCGGCCCAGACUCCUACGGGAGGCAGCAGUAGGGAAUCUUCCGCAAUGGACGAAAGUCUGACGGAGCAACGCCGCGUGAGUGAUGAAGGCUUUCGGGUCGUAAAACUCUGUUGUUAGGGAAGAACAAGUGCUAGUUGAAUAAGCUGGCACCUUGACGGUACCUAACCAGAAAGCCACGGCUAACUACGUGCCAGCCGCCGCGGUAA